rnacentral:rRNA from 1 species
GAUGAACGCUGGCGGCGUGCCUAAUACAUGCAAGUCGAGCGAACAGACGAGGAGCUUGCUCCUCUGACGUUAGCGGCGGACGGGUGAGUAACACGUGGAUAACCUACCUAUAAGACUGGGAUAACUUCGGGAAACCGGAGCUAAUACCGGAUAAUAUAUUGAACCGCAUGGGUCAAUAGUGAAAGACGGUUUUGCUGUCACUUAUAGAUGGAUCCGCGCCGCAUUAGCUAGUUGGUAAGGUAACGGCUUACCAAGGCGACGAGGCGUAGCCGACCUGAGAGGGUGAUCGGCCACACUGGAACGGAGACACGGUCCAGACUCCUACGGGAGGCAGCAGUAGGGAAUCUUCCGCAAUGGGCGAAAGCCUGACGGAGCAACGCCGCGUGAGUGAUGAAGGUCUUCGGAUCGUAAAACUCUGUUAUUAGGGAAGAACAAAUGUGUAAGUAACUAUGCACGUCUUGACGGUACCUAAUCAGAAAGCCACGGCUAACUACGUG